UGAGGAACAUGACCUUCGGCGGGGGAUAGCCGGCCCAACGGCCGGGUAAUACCGCGUACGACCUUUCGGGGACAUCCCUGAAUGGUGAAAGCAGCAAUGCGCCGAUGGAGUGCCUCGCGGCCUAUCAGCUAGUUGGUGGGGUGAUGGCCUACCAAGGCGAUGACGGGUAGCCGGCCUGAGAGGGCGACCGGCCACACUGGGACUGAGACACGGCCCAGACUCCGUACGGGAGGCCGGAGGUAGGGG
rnacentral:rRNA from 1 species